rnacentral:snRNA from 1 species
AACUUGUUAAACUAAAACAUUUC